rnacentral:misc_RNA from 1 species
AAGUCGUAACAAGGUUUCCGUAGGUGAACCUGCGGAAGGAUCAUUAACACUUUUUUGUUGAUUGUUGGUUUUUUCUUAAAACCGACAACCACAUCUUAUCCUAUCCAAACUGAAGAGCUUGUGAGCAGUGUGCUUUUUUGUGUCUCUUUCGAGACAAAAAGCUGGCUCCCAUUUUCUCACUUUAUCUUUCACUUUUAAACAAAAACUCAAUCACACAAAUCUAAUUCAUUUGUGAGAUUGCAAACAAUCAAUUUGCUAUCUUGACAAUCUAAAAACAACUUUUAAGAGAUUUACAUCUCAAAAUGUAACCAAACAACUCUUAACAACGGAUAUCUUGGCUCUC